UACAGAGGGGGCAAGCGUUGUUCGGAAUUACUGGGCGUAAAGGGCGCGUAGGCGGCCUGCUAAGUCGAACGUGAAAUCCCUGGGCUCGACCCAGGAACUGCGUCCGAUACUGGUUGGCUUGAAUCCGGGAGAGGGAUGUGGAAUUCCAGGUGUAGCGGUGAAAUGCGUAGAUAUCUGGAGGAACACCGGUGGCGAAGGCGACAUCCUGGACCGGUAUUGACGCUGAGGCGCGAAAGCCAGGGGAGCAAACGGG
rnacentral:rRNA from 1 species